rnacentral:rRNA from 1 species
UUGGUUAAGUUAGAAAGGGCGCACGGUGGAUGCCUUGGCACUAGGAGCCGAAGAAGGACGGGACUAACACCGAUAUGCUUUGGGGAGCUGUACGUAAGCGUUGAUCCAGAGAUUUCCGAAUGGGGGAACCCACUAUCUUUAGUCGGAUAGUAUCCUUACGUGAAUACAUAGCGUGAGGAAGGCAGACCCAGGGAACUGAAACAUCUAAGUACCUGGAGGAAGAGAAAGAAAAAUCGAUUUCCUGAGUAGCGGCGAGCGAAACGGAAAGAGCCCAAACCAAGAAGCUUGCUUCUUGGGGUUGUAGGACACUCUAUACGGAGUUACAAAAGAAAGUUAUAAAUGAAGCGGUCUGGAAAGGCCCGCCAAAGACGGUAACAGCCCGGUAGUUGAAAUAGCUUUCCCUCCAGAGUGGAUCCUGAGUACGGCGGAACACGUGAAAUUCCGUCGGAAUCCGGGAGGACCAUCUCCCAAGGCUAAAUACUCCCUAGUGACCGAUAGUGAACCAGUACCGUGAGGGAAAGGUGAAAAGCACCCCGGAAGGGGAGUGAAACAGUUCCUGAAACCGUGUGCCUACAAGUAGUUAGAGCCCGUUAAUGGGUGAUAGCGUGCCUUUUGUAGAAUGAACCGGCGAGUUACGAUUUGUUGCAAGGUUAAGCGGAAAAAGCGGAGCCGUAGCGAAAGCGAGUCUGAAUAGGGCGCAUAAGUAACAGGUCGUAGACCCGAAACCAGGUGAUCUACCCAUGUCCAGGAUGAAGGUAAGGUAAUACUUACUGGAGGUCCGAACCCACGCACGUUGAAAAGUGCGGGGAUGAGGUGUGGGUAGCGGAGAAAUUCCAAUCGAACUUGGAGAUAGCUGGUUCUCUCCGAAAUAGCUUUAGGGCUAGCCUCGAGGUAAAGAGUCAUGGAGGUAGAGCACUGUUUGGACUAGGGGCCCUUCUCGGGUUACCGAAUUCAGAUAAACUCCGAAUGCCAUGUACUUAUACUCGGGAGUCAGACUGCGAGUGAUAAGAUCCGUAGUCGAAAGGGAAACAGCCCAGACCACCAGUUAAGGUCCCCAAAUAUAUGUUAAGUGGAAAAGGAUGUGGGGUUGCUUAGACAACCAGGAUGUUGGCUUAGAAGCAGCCACCAUUGAAAGAGUGCGUAAUAGCUCACUGGUCGAGUGACCCCGCGCCGAAAAUGUACCGGGGCUAAACAUAUUACCGAAACUGUGGAUGAACCUCUUCGGAGGUUCGUGGUAGGAGAGCGUUCUAAGGGCGGUGAAGUCAGACCGGAAGGACUGGUGGAGCGCUUAGAAGUGAGAAUGCCGGUAUGAGUAGCGAAAGAAGGGUGAGAAUCCCUUCCACCGAAUAUCUAAGGUUUCCUGAGGAAGGCUCGUCCGCUCAGGGUUAGUCGGGACCUAAGCCGAGGCCGAUAGGCGUAGGCGAUGGACAACAGGUAGAGAUUCCUGUACCAGUGCUAAUUGUUUAACCGAUGGGGUGACACAGAAGGAUAGGGAAUCGCACGAAUGGAAAUGUGCGUCCAAGCAGUGAGUGUGAGAAGUAGGCAAAUCCGCUUCUCGCGAAGCAUGAGCUGUGAUGGGGAAGGAAAUAAAGUACGGAAGUUCCUGAUUUCACGCUGUCAAGAAAAGCCUCUAGGAAGAGUAGUACUGCCCGUACCGCAAACCGACACAGGUAGAUGAGGAGAGAAUCCUAAGGUGAGCGAGAGAACUCUCGUUAAGGAACUCGGCAAAAUGACCCCGUAACUUCGGGAGAAGGGGUGCUCUAUUAGGGUGCAAGCCCGAGAGAGCCGCAGUGAAUAGGCCCAGGCGACUGUUUAGCAAAAACACAGGUCUCUGCAAAACCGUAAGGUGACGUAUAGGGGCUGACGCCUGCCCGGUGCUGGAAGGUUAAGAGGAGUGCUUAGCUUCGGCGAAGGUACGAAUUGAAGCCCCAGUAAACGGCGGCCGUAACUAUAACGGUCCUAAGGUAGCGAAAUUCCUUGUCGGGUAAGUUCCGACCCGCACGAAAGGCGCAACGAUCUGGGCACUGUCUC